GGGCGUAAAGAGCUCGUAGGCGGUUCAGUAAGUCGGGUGUGAAAACUCUGGGCUCAACCCAGAGACGCCACUCGAUACUGCUGUGACUUGAGUACGGUAGGGGAGCGGGGAAUUCAUGGUGUAGCGGUGAAAUGCGCAGAUAUCAUGAGGAACACCAGCGGCGAAGGCGCCGCUCUGGGCCGUAACUGACGCUGAGGAGCGGAAGCAUGGGUAGCAAACAGGAUUAGAUACCCUGGUAGUCCAUGCCGUAAACGUUGGGCACUAGGUGUGGGUCUCAACCAACGAGAUCCGCGCCGUCGCUAACGCAUUAAGUGCCCCGCCUGGGGAGUACGGUCGCAAGACUAAAACUCAAAGGAAUUGACGGGGGCCCGCACAAGCAGCGGAGCGUGUUGCUUAAUUCGAUGCAACGCGAAGAACCUUACCUGGGUUUGACAUGUACCGAAAAGCUCUAGAGAUAGGGUGUCCUUCGGGGCGGUACACAGGUGGUGCAUGGCUGUCGCCAGCUCGUGUCGUGAGAUGUUGGGUUAAGUCCCGCAACGAGCGCAACCCUUAUCCUAUGUUGCCAGCACGUAAUGGUGGGGACUCGUAGGAGACUGCCGGGGUCAACUCGGAGGAAGGUAAU
rnacentral:rRNA from 1 species